ACACGAAAUCGUACCCCAAACCGACACAGGUGGUCAGGUAGAGAAUACCAAGGCGCUUGAGAGAACUCGGGUGAAGGAACUAGGCAAAAUGGUGCCGUAACUUCGGGAGAAGGCACGCUGACACGUAGGUGAAGUGAUUUACUCACGGAGCUGAAGUCAGUCGAAGAUACCAGCUGGCUGCAACUGUUUAUUAAAAACACAGCACUGUGCAAACACGAAAGUGGACGUAUACGGUGUGACGCCUGCCCGGUGCCGGAAGGUUAAUUGAUGGGGUCAGCGCAAGCGAAGCUCCUGAUCGAAGCCCCGGUAAACGGCGGCCGUAACUAUAACGGUCCUAAGGUAGCGAAAUUCCUUGUCGGGUAAGUUCCGACCUGCACGAAUGGCGUAAUGAUGGCCAGGCUGUCUCCACCCGAGACUCAGUGAAAUUGAACUCGCUGUGAAGAUGCAGUGUACCCGCGGCAAGACGGAAAGACCCCGUGAACCUUUACUAUAGCUUGACACUGAACAUUGAGCCUUGAUGUGUAGGAUAGGUGGGAGGCUUUGAAGUGUGGACGCCAGUCUGCAUGGAGCCGACCUUGAAAUACCACCCUUUAAUGUUUGAUGUUCUAACGUGGACCCGUAAUCCGGGUUGCGGACAGUGUCUGGUGGGUAGUUUGACUGGGGCGGUCUCCUCCUAAAGAGUAACGGAGGAGCACGAAGGUUGGCUAAUCCUGGUCGGACAUCAGGAGGUUAGUGCAAUGGCAUAAGCCAGCUUGACUGCGAGCGUGACGGCGCGAGCAGGUGCGAAAGCAGGUCAUAGUGAUCCGGUGGUUCUGAAUGGAAGGGCCAUCGCUCAACGGAUAAAAGGUACUCCGGGGAUAACAGGCUGAUACCGCCCAAGAGUUCAUAUCGACGGCGGUGUUUGGCACCUCGAUGUCGGCUCAUCACAUCCUGGGGCUGAAGUAGGUCCCAAGGGUAUGGCUGUUCGCCAUUUAAAGUGGUACGCGAGCUGGGUUUAGAACGUCGUGAGACAGUUCGGUCCCUAUCUGCCGUGGGCGCUGGAGAACUGAGGGGGGCUGCUCCUAGUACGAGAGGACCGGAGUGGACGCAUCACUGGUGUUCGGGUUGUCAUGCCAAUGGCACUGCCCGGUAGCUAAAUGCGGAAGAGAUAAGUGCUGAAAGCAUCUAAGCACGAAACUUGCCCCGAGAUGAGUUCUCCCUGAGACUUUAGGUCUCCUGAAGGAACGUUGAAGACGACGACGUUGAUAGGCCGGGUGUGUAAGCGCAGCGAUGCGUUGAGCUAACCGGUACUAAUGAACCGUGAGGCUUAACCUUACA
rnacentral:rRNA from 1 species